GGUUGUUGGUGAGGAAUUAAAUAGUUGAGGUGAUGAAUCCCUUUUCUCGGACAUUUGUCUCUUCACUGAGGGAGUUGCAUAUAACUCUAACAAAGCAGGACCCAUGAUUCACUUGGAUGAUUAAUUGACUUGGUUACAGUUUUUUUUGUCGUCAAGGAUUUCGAUGAUUGUGACGAUUUGAAGACAAGGAAGAGAGGAAGAGGCCAUACCAACUAUCGAGUUCUAAAAAGAUUCAUCGUCCUUAGAACAUAAAAAAAGAUGAAGAUGAAGAUAAAGAUGAUGAGGAUGAGGAUGACGAACAUGAGGUUCUUCCUCUUUUCCAUGCAGCAAUCGAACAACAAUUAAAUCACAACAAUUAACAAUCAUCUUGUUCUCUUUUAGAUUCUUAAUCCGUUUCCAACUGAUUCGAAAUGAUUGUUGUUGUUUUCAUUUUCUUCUUGAUUGUCACCAGUUAGAGACAAUUAAUUGAUUCUGAUUAAUCUUGUUCUUGUUGGGAUCAGGGCGAUGAUUUGAUAAUCUAUUCACAAUUAGAGCUUCAGAUUAACUGUUUAAA